rnacentral:rRNA from 1 species
AGUGAACGCUGGCGGUAGGCCUAACACAUGCAAGUCGAACGGCAGCACAGUAAGAGCUUGCUCUUACGGGUGGCGAGUGGCGGACGGGUGAGGAAUGCAUCGGAAUCUACUUUUUCGUGGGGGAUAACGUAGGGAAACUUACGCUAAUACCGCAUACGACCUACGGGUGAAAGCAGGGGAUCUUCGGACCUUGCGCGAUUGAAUGAGCCGAUGUCGGAUUAGCUAGUUGGCGGGGUAAAGGCCCACCAAGGCGACGAUCCGUAGCUGGUCUGAGAGGAUGAUCAGCCACACUGGAACUGAGACGCGGCCCAGACUCCUACGGGAGGCAGCAGUGGGGAAUAUUGGACAAUGGGCGCAAGCCUGAUCCAGCCAUACCGCGUGGGUGAAGAAGGCCUUCGGGUUGUAAAGCCCUUUUGUUGGGAAAGAAAAGCAGCAGGUUAAUACCCCGCUGUUCUGACGGUACCCAAAGAAUAAGCACCGGCUAACUUCGUG